GGAAUUUGGGAAAUAAGGCCCAAUAGGAGUAGUUUGGUUGCCCGAACCAUAAGAGGUUGUAGCACCGGAUGAACGUAAUUUCUUUCCAUAAUGAGAUGAUGACCCUUCAUACAUGUUAUAUGGGUUAUUCCAAUCAAAAGAGGCUGUACCACCGGAUGAAUGGAUUUUCUUUGAAUUACUUACUCCCUUAGAACUCUUCUCAUUUGAAUUUCCAAUGACUAAUUGUCCCUCCUUGCCUAAAGCAGGUCCUGGGGAUGACCAAGACGACCCAAACUGCGUAGGCUGACCAACGAGAGUAGAGCUGCUAAAUGAAGCGGAUUGAUUCCUUACUGCCCCAGGGACAUCUCUUCCUGAAGUACUUGUAGUGGUUGACACCAUUUGUUCUUCCAUGGGACCAGGCAUCCAUGGGAUUGGA
rnacentral:misc_RNA from 1 species